rnacentral:rRNA from 1 species
UACGUAGGAUGCUAGCGUUGUCCGGAAUCACUGGGCGUAAAGGGUCCGUAGGCGGUUUGUUAAGUCUUCUGUGAAAACUUCGGGCUCAACCCGGAGAGGUCGGGGGAUACUGGCAAACUUGAGACUGUCAGAGGCAGGUGGAAUUCCCGGUGUAGUGGUGAAAUGCGUAGAUAUCGGGAGGAACACCAGUGGCGAAAGCGGCCUGCUGGGACAGUUCUGACGCUGAGGGACGAAAGCGUGGGUAGCAAACCGG